rnacentral:rRNA from 1 species
CCUACGGGAGGCAGCAGUGAGGAAUAUUGGUCAAUGGACGCAAGUCUGAACCAGCCAUGCCGCGUGCAGGAAGACGGCUCUAUGAGUUGUAAACUGCUUUUGUACGAGGGUAAACGCAGAUACGCGUAUCUUUCUGAAAGUAUCGUACGAAUAAGGAUCGGCUAACUCCGUGCCAGCAGCCGCGGUAAUACGGAGGAUUCAAGCGUUAUCCGGAUUUAUUGGGUUUAAAGGGUGCGUAGGCGGUCGGAUAAGUUAGAGGUGAAAUCCCGAGGCUCAACGUCGGAAUUGCCUUUGAUACUGUUCGGCUAGAGAGUAGUUGAGGUAGGCGGAAUGUAUGGUGUAGCGGUGAAAUGCUUAGAGAUCAUACAGAACACCGAUUGCGAAGGCAGCUUACCAAGCUACUUCUGACGUUGAGGCACGAAAGCGUGGGGAGCAAACAGGAUUAGAUACCCCUGUAGUC